rnacentral:tRNA from 1 species
CAGAUUAUAAUUUAAGGAAAAUAUUGGCUUUGGAAGCUAAAAAUCAUAUUCAUAUGUUAUCUGA